CUAGAGAAACCAACAUGGGUUGUGAUGCAGUGGAUGUGGCUGUUCCACUUUUAACCAGAGGUUGAGAGUUCGAUCCUGUGUAUGGAUAAAACUCUGUUAGAAGUGCUGCCAUCUUAAUGGUCCCUACAAUGCGUGAUCCAGAUUAAUCGGGCUCCAAUACGGACAUCGGACAACCGUAUGGAAAAAAAAAAAAAAGAAGAAUACCUAGAGAAACUGAACAAAACUAUGAUAUGUCUGUUUAUUUCAAGGGUUAAAAGACACGUUGCAUAAACUGUGUUUAAAAUCUAAAAUAUCCUUAUGCUAAUUUAAAAAAGAAAACUAGAAGGAACGUUCUUUUCUCUCUCAUAUCUUUCAUGCAAAAACCCUUAAAAAAAACUCAACUUUUACCAGAUUCUAUCGCCACAAGAGCCACCCCUCGACAAUUGGUAAGAUAUCUUAAAUGUCGCCUGACCUACUCCAAGAAUUAUAUCACCCAAAGAGCCCACCAUUAUCAAAAAAUCAAAACCCUUAAUCCAGAUAUUGCCUACGGUUGAUUUGCCUAGCAAGGAUGGGAAUACUGAAUCCAGUGGUGAUUUGUAUAAUCAGAGGGGCAAAAUACAAUAUGUGGAUUUAGU
rnacentral:lncRNA from 1 species